CUCUCCCCUUUCUUCUCUUCUCCUUCUUCUUUUUGAGAUUGUCCAAGAGAUUGAGAACAAGGAGGAAGAAGACGAAGAAGAAGAGAAGAAGAGAGAUGAAUGGCAACGCUGGUUCGAAGAAUGGUUUCAAUUUUUGGG
rnacentral:ribozyme from 13 species